GACGAGGUGGCCGAGUGGUUAAGGCGAUGGACUGCUAAUCCAUUGUGCUCAGAUCAUCAAGAAAAAACACAUUAAUGCCAUUCAACAAACCCUUUUGCAAUGCCACGUUG
rnacentral:tRNA from 1 species